GUUGAAGACCACAUUUAGGCCUAAAAGUUCGACUGUUCCAGAGGGCGGAUGAGCCAUUAAGCGGAACAGCCAGCCUGGAAGUCAUCUGAGUUACUGGCAAUGCUGUCGUCAUCGAGUAUUUAGAGGGCACUCUCCUUAAUUGCAUUUCCCGAGCCAUUGAUUAUUUCAACAGUGUUUCUUGGCACAUGGGCUUUUGUGCAGCUACAACGGACCAAGGUCAGACAAGUCUGCAGGGAGGCUCCUGAAGCACUUCCUGAAGCACUUCCCUGGAGCAGCAAGGAGAACAGACAGAGCUUAAGGGAGGAAUCCUGAAGAAUUUUCUUGUAGAUGUGCUUCGGAUCAUGGUCCUGCUGCAUGACCCAACUAGCUUGAUCUUAAGGUCAUGAAUUGAUGAUUGGACAAUACCCUAAACAAUUUUUUGCUAGUAAAAUUCAUGGUUCCAUCAACUAUGGAAAGUUGUCCAGGUCCUGAAGCAGCCAAGCAGAGCAGGACCAUUGGACUUUCACUACCACGUUUGACUGUUAAUAUGUUUUUUUUUUCAGGACUGCUGUGUUACGUUUACACCAGAUGCAUUAGGAUUCUUCUUAAAAGUUUCACUUUUAUGUUAUAGAAUAUUUUUCCUAAAUUCUUGGGUACUGUAAAAAUGUUUUCUUUUUGACAAAUGUGUUAUUUUUGAUCAGCAAUGGUUUUGACCCUGGAGCUCUUUUAUUGCUAGCAUUUUUGCCAAGGUCAGUGUUCCUAAUCCUGAACACUGACCUUGACUAAGGCAGAUGAGGCCUGCAGACCUUUAGAUGUUGUUCUGUGAGUCACUGAUGUGCUUUUGGAGUGCUUUCAAUAGGCCGGCCACUCCUGGGCAGGUUUACCACAGUUUUUCUUCAAUUGUAGGUAAUGGCUCUCAGUCCGGUUCACUGUAGUCCCGAUUGCUUAGAAAUGUCAUUUUAAUCCCUUCCAGAAAAUAGAUGUAACUUUUUCUCAUCUGUUCUUGAAUUGAUUUAGAUUAGGACAUGAUAAAUUCACCUUGAUAUCUUUUAGCCUACUUUAUGUAGUCAGACAGGUUCUAUUUUAGGGAUUUCUUUUAAUCCCUUUGGGAUUAAUAAAGUAUUUUUGAAUUGAAUUGAAUUGAAUAUACAGGGCGUGCAGUAAUCAGUCUUUAGUUUGGCUAGUGAAACUGAACUCAGCUUUUCAAAAAAUGUGGUUAAUCAUAGUUAAUUCAUGAUUUCAAUAGGGAGGCCAUUUUCUUUUUGACAUAGAAACAGUUUGAUUUAGGUAGCUUUGUUCCUUUAAUAAAUUAAAUUAUCCUUUAAAAACUGAUUUUUGUAUUUACUCAGGUUAUCUUUGUGUGAUAGUAAAUUUGUUUGAUUAUCUAAAACAUUUACAUGUAACAAUAAGGCAAAGACAAAUCUGUAAGGGGGGAAAUACUUUUUCACAGCACUAUAACUUACCAGGAACUAAACAAAUUUGAUUUGAUAAUAAGUUAGGCAGGCAGGUAGAUAGGUAG